rnacentral:siRNA from 1 species
GUCAUUCUGGUGGUGGUGGA